rnacentral:misc_RNA from 1 species
GGGAUAAUUUCUUGAGGGUCACAACCUCAAUCCCCAUGAACUUAGGUGACUCUUUCUCUUCAAGCACUGGUUCUCCAUCAGCAGCAGCAGCCUCAGCCCUGCGAAUUGGGAAAAAUCUGUUUUUUUGACCAACCAAUUGUGGCUUUGUUGAAAAGCUUUGAACUUUUUGAAACCCAUCAGAGGAUAGAGAUAACCCUUCAAGGGAUUUGGGUUUGAGAGAAUUGAAUCUACGCCUAAGACCCCCUUGAGGUAUUGGGUAAAAUGCCCUGAUUAU